AGCGAACGCUGGCGGCAGGCUUAACACAUGCAAGUCGAGCGGGCAUCCUUGUGGUGUCAGCGGCAGACGGGUGAGUAACGCGUGGGAACGUCCCCUUCGGUUCGGAAUAACUCUGGGAAACUUUAGCUAAUACCGGAUACGUGCGAGAGCAGAAAGGUUUAUCUGCCGAAGGAUCGGCCCGCGUCUGAUUAGCUAGUUGGUGAGGUUACGGCUCACCAAGGCGACGAUCAGUAGCUGGUCUGAGAGGAUGAUCAGCCACACUGGGACUGAGACACGGCCCAGACUCCUACGGGAGGCAGCAGUGGGGAAUAGUGGACAAUGGGGGCAACCCUGAUCCAGCCAUGCCGCGUGAGUGAUGACGGCCUUAGGGUUGUAAAGCUCUUUUCUCCGGGACGAUAAUGACGGUACCGGAGGAAUAAGCCCCGGCUAACUUCGUG
rnacentral:rRNA from 1 species